rnacentral:rRNA from 1 species
GAUGAACGCUGGCGGCGUGCCUAAUACAUGCAAGUCGAGCGAACGGACGAGAAGCUUGCUUUUCUGAUGUUAGCGGCGGACGGGUGAGUAACACGUGGAUAACCUACCUAUAAGACUGGGAUAACUUCGGGAAACCGGAGCUAAUACCGGAUAAUAUUUUGAACCGCAUGGUUCAAAAGUGAAAGACGGUCUUGCUGUCACUUAUAGAUGGAUCCGCGCUGCAUUAGCUAGUUGGUAAGGUAACGGCUUACCAAGGCAACGAUGCAUAGCCGACCUGAGAGGGUGAUCGGCCACACUGGAACUGAGACACGGUCCAGACUCCUACGGGAGGCAGCAGUAGGGAAUCUUCCGCAAUGGGCGAAAGCCUGACGGAGCAACGCCGCGUGAGUGAUGAAGGUCUUCGGAUCGUAAAACUCUGUUAUUAGGGAAGAACAUAUGUGUAAGUAACUGUGCACAUCUUGACGGUACCUAAUCAGAAAGCCACGGCUAACUACGUGCCAGCAGCCGCGGUAAUACGUAGGUGGCAAGCGUUAUCCGGAAUUAUUGGGCGUAAAGCGCGCGUAGGCGGUUUUUUAAGUCUGAUGUGAAAGCCCACGGCUCAACCGUGGAGGGUCAUUGGAAACUGGAAAACUUGAGUGCAGAAGAGGAAAGUGGAAUUCCAUGUGUAGCGGUGAAAUGCGCAGAGAUGUGGAGGAACACCAGUGGCGAAGGCGACUUUCUGGUCUGUAACUGACGCUGAUGUGCGAAAGCGUGGGGAUCAAACAGGAUUAGAUACCCUGGUAGUCCACGCCGUAAACGAUGAGUGCUAAGUGUUAGGGGGUUUCCGCCCCUUAGUGCUGCAGCUAACGCAUUAAGCACUCCGCCUGGGGAGUACGACCGCAAGGUUGAAACUCAAAGGAAUUGACGGGGGCCCGCACAAGCGGUGGAGCAUGUGGUUUAAUUCGAAGCAACGCGAAGAACCUUACCAAAUCUUGACAUCCUUUGACAACUCUAGAGAUAGAGCCUUCCCCUUCGGGGGACAAAGUGACAGGUGGUGCAUGGUUGUCGUCAGCUCGUGUCGUGAGAUGUUGGGUUAAGUCCCGCAACGAGCGCAACCCUUAAGCUUAGUUGCUAUCAUUAAGUUGGGCACUCUAAGUUGACUGCCGGUGACAAACCGGAGGAAGGUGGGGAUGACGUCAAAUCAUCAUGCCCCUUAUGAUUUGGGCUACACACGUGCUACAAUGGACAAUACAAAGGGCAGCGAAACCGCGAGGUCAAGCAAAUCCCAUAAAGUUGUUCUCAGUUCGGAUUGUAGUCUGCAACUCGACUACAUGAAGCUGGAAUCGCUAGUAAUCGUAGAUCAGCAUGCUACGGUGAAUACGUUCCCGGGUCU